rnacentral:rRNA from 1 species
UACAGAGGGUGCGAGCGUUAAUCGGAAUUACUGGGCGUAAAGCGUGCGUAGACGGUUAUUUAAGUCGGAUGUGAAAGCCCCGGGCUCAACCUGGGAAUUGCAUUCGAGACUGAAUAGCUAGGGUGCGGUAGAGGGAAGCGGAAUUUCCGGUGUAGCGGUGAAAUGCGUAGAUAUCGGAAGGAACAUCAGUGGCGAAAGCGGCUUCCUGGACCAGCACGACGUCAGC